rnacentral:ncRNA from 2 species
UGAACAGGUAGAGGUCGCAAAUUUCAUUAACCCUAUGGAGUGAAGCAACAUGUAGAAAUAGGUCUAGGGAAAUUAGCCGAAACGGUUUUUCAUUGCUUUGAAUCAUCGUUGGGGCGUAAGUAAACAGCUUGCGUACUGUCUUAGCACAAGCUAAGGUGCGCUAUGUUUUGU